AGGUAGAGGUUGCAGACAAACUUCUUGAAUUUCGUUCGGCGCAGCCUGGUUUCCUAGAUACAAGCUUUGACACUAUAAGUGGUACAUGUCAAACCUUUAUUGUUUUUUACCUUUUUUUUACAGUUAUUUGAGAUUUUUACGUUUAUUACCGUAGAUAAGCAUGUUCUUAUCCCUAAGUUAAAGCUUAUUACAUAGAUGUUUUCUUUUUUGCUUCUUCUCUUUAUUGUCCUUUUCUUAUUUUUUGAGUCAAUAGUUCCUUUGUCGAUUUCUUAAACUUCUCUACUCACAAUUUGAAUGUUUUUCCAGGUUCUGGUGCAAACGGUGCUAUCAUACACUACAGAGCAGAACCAGAUAGUUGUAGUGUUGUGGAUGACAAGAAACUCUUCCUAUUGGAUAGUGGUGGUCAAUACGUUGAUGGAACAACUGAUAUAACGAGGACCGUACAUUUUGGCGAACCUCCCUUGCGAC
rnacentral:lncRNA from 1 species